CCUACGGGAGGCAGCAGUAGGGAAUAUUGCUCAAUGGGGGAAACCCUGAAGCAGCAACGCCGCGUGGAGGAUGAAGGUUUUCGGAUUGUAAACUCCUUUUGUUAGAGAAGAUAAUGACGGUAUCUAACGAAUAAGCACCGGCUAACUCCGUGCCAGCAGCCGCGGUCAUACGGCGGGUGCAAGCGUUACUCGGAAUCACUGGGCGUAAAGAGCGCGUAGGCGGGAUGGCAAGUCAGAUGUGAAAUCCUAUGGCUUAACCAUAGAACUGCAUUUGAAACUGUUAAUCUAGAGUAUGGGAGAGGUAGGUGGAAUUCUUGGUGUAGGGGUAAAAUCCGUAGAGAUCAAGAGGAAGACUCAUUGCGAAGGCGACCUGCUAGAACAUAACUGACGCUGAUGCGCGAAAGCGUGGGGAGCAAACAGGAUUAGAUACCCUGGUAGUC
rnacentral:rRNA from 1 species